UGUCAUGUCUUAUGAAGUAGCCUGCUCUGAAAUGUACUCUAGAUAGGCUAAGGCAACAUGUAGGUUCAUAGUCUACUUCAAAGGAGAUGCUCCAAACAUCUGGGCAUGGAUGGAAAAUAAGAUGGAAUCUUUGGGAAGGCGCAGGCACCUCUCCUGUUGGCAAGAAGAAAGAUGGCAAAGAAUAUACCUCGCCUGGACAGGAAUUGGGCUCCCAAGCAGAAGUGGUAUCACAGCAGAGUCAGAAUAAAAAAUGAGGCGUUUAUUCACAGAAGCAUAGCUGUCACUCUGCACACCCCCAAAGUGAAAGCACAAAGAGAAAACUCAAAGAAGGAGGUGAAAGUAGUUCACUGUGGUGCAGAAAUGGAGUUUGGAAAUUGUUUGCAGGGGAUGAAGCCAUGACUGACUGGGAACUAACAGCACCCUUUAGUCUUGAAAUGAAUGUUUCUCAUGGCUAAAGAUUUGAAGCUUUCCAAGUACAAACAAACAAACACACCAAGAAAUCAACUGUGGCAAAUGAAUUCAAGCAUACAGCUAUGUGAAGAAACGGAUUAAGGCAAGGAACAUCCAAUAUUUCCCCAAGGUCAUUCAUUACAAGGCCCUGCCUCAGAUAACAUCUGUAUGAAUAAAAAGAACAUCUGUAUGGUACUAUAGUUUAGUGUAUCAGAGAAAUUGUAAAGAGCACUCAUUAAA